rnacentral:rRNA from 1 species
GACAGAGGGGGCAAGCGUUGCUCGGAAUUACUGGGCGUAAAGGGCGCGUAGGCGGGAUGGCAAGUCGGUCGUGAAAUCCCUCGGCUCAACCGAGGAACGUCGAUCGAUACUGCUGUUCUUGAGGAUUGCAGAGGAGACUGGAAUUCCCGGUGUAGCGGUGAAAUGUGUAGAGAUCGGGGAGGAACACCGGUGGCGAAGGCGGGGUCUCUGGGGCCAUUACUGACGCUGAGGAGCGAAAGCAUGGGGGAGCGAACAGG